AAUGAACGCUGGCGGCAUGCCUAACACAUGCAAGUCGAACGAAGGCUUCGGCCUUAGUGGCGCACGGGUGCGUAACGCGUGGGAAUCUGCCCUUGGGUUCGGAAUAACAGUUAGAAAUGACUGCUAAUACCGGAUGAUGUCGUAAGACCAAAGAUUUAUCGCCCAAGGAUGAGCCCGCGUAGGAUUAGCUAGUUGGUGGGGUAAAGGCCCACCAAGGCGACGAUCCUUAGCUGGUCUGAGAGGAUGAUCAGCCACACUGGGACUGAGACACGGCCCAGACUCCUACGGGAGGCAGCAGUGGGGAAUAUUGGACAAUGGGCGAAAGCCUGAAGCAGCAACGCCGCGUGAGGGAUGAAGGCCUUAGGGUUGUAAAGCUCUUUCACCGGAGAAGAUAAUGACGGUAUCCGGAGAAGAAGCCCCGGCUAACUUCGUGCCAGCCGCCGCCGUAAUAC
rnacentral:rRNA from 1 species